rnacentral:rRNA from 1 species
GAUGAACGAUGGCGGCGUGCCUAAUACAUGCAAGUCGAGCGAACGGACGAGAAGCUUGCUUCUCUGAUGUUAGCGGCGGACGGGUGAGUAACACGUGGAUAACCUACCUAUAAGACUGGGAUAACUUCGGGAAACCGGAGCUAAUCCCGGAUAAUAUUUUGCACCGCAUGGUUCAAAAGUGAAAGACGGUCUUGCUGUCACUUAUAGAUGGAUCCGCGCUGCAUUAGCUAGUUGGUAAGGUAACGGCUUACCAAGGCAACGAUGCAUAGCCGACCUGAGAGGGUGAUCGGCCACACUGGAACUGAGACACGGUCCAGACGCCUACGGGAGGCAGCAGUAGGGAAUCUUCCGCAAUGGGCGAAAGCCUGACGGAGCAACGCCGCGUGAGUGAUGAAGGUCUUCGGAUCGUAAAACUCUGUUAUUAGGGAAGAACAUAUGUGUAAGUAACUGUGCACAUCUUGACGGUACCUAAUCAGAAAGCCACGGCUAACUACGUG